CCUAGCAUGUAUGGAGAAAACAAAACAAAACUGGUUAGCAUCUCGUCUUUUGUACGUUCUUAUUGCUACUCCGUGGAAGAGGAAACGACGUUUAUGGCAGUGAUAUAAAUCAAGUCUCCGACCGCGCAGCAUCCUGUGACCAUUCUUUAUGAUAUCAGGCUAGCUGCUAGCACAUGUCCGGUUUUUGACAGGCUUCCUUUGACGUCCGUCAUGGCGGAGCGGGCGGGCGGAGUUUGGAAGAGAGUGACGUCAAGUGCAAAGGGCCAAUAAGCUUUUACAAAUAUGUAAAAAAUAAAAAAAAACUAUUUUGUUGUUUGUCUUUUAAAUAAAAGUUACAUACCGCACCUUUAA